AGAAAGGCGUGGUGGGCGGCGGGGAAGGGGCGGCUCUCGAGUAGCCGGUAGAGCUCGGCGUACUCGCCCCGCUGGAAGGCCACCAGGGCCCGCGCGCGCAGCACCGGGUCGCUGCCACGUAGGCGCUCGGCCGGGGGCAGUGCGCCCAGGAAGCGGCUCAAGCGGCCGGCGUGGCCCGCCUGGAGCAGCGCCUCGCAGACGCACGCCACCUGCUCGGGCGAGAAGCGGAGGCCUGUGGACGGUUCGGAAGCGGCCUCGGGGGGCGACCCGGGGACGCCCGGGGAUCCCGGGCCCUCAGCUCCCGCAGCCGCUUCGCCCGCCCCGGCCCCAGCCGCCGCCGCCGCCUCACCCUCGGCCGCCUGCAAAGUCUGCAAGAGCUGGCGCGCUUCCUCCUCCUCCUCUUCGGUCGCCGCCGCCGCCACCGCCUCCCCCCCGGCCGCCGGCCCCGCGCUCGGCUCCGCAGGCAAGGUGUCUAUACACGCCCCGCGGAGCAGACGGCCCACCUCCUCCCGGUCCUCCGGGGAAGGGGACACAUGAGGGACUCGCCUGUGGCUCCCUCUGCCUGCAGCAACUCCAUCCGCUCCUGCAACUGCCGGACGUGUGCCUCUAGGUCCCGGUUCCGAGCCUCUGCCUCACGUAGUUGACUGUGGGGAGGUAAGGACGGUGAGUCCGUCCGGGCCGGAGGAGAGGGGCUGCCAAGGGUUGCCACGGGCCCCGCGCCCCGGCCCUGACCCCGACCUGGCGAAGUUCUGGUUGUCCGUGCGGAUGGCCUCCAUCUCCCGGCUCAAGCUCUGCCGGGUGAGCACCUCCUCCUCCAGGGCCUCCUGGAGCUCCCGCAGCGUCACCUCGGCCUCAGCCUCCACCGCAGGGAUAGCCGCUGGAACUGCCACUUCAGCCUGUGUAUGGGAACCAGGCUUAAGGCUGCCUGUGGCUCCCGGAGGACUCAGGACUUGGGCACUGGUUCCAGGCUAGGGAUCCUUGCUUAUCCCCUACUCCUCCGUCCCCUCAAAAUUUCUGGAAUCCCCAUAGCUCCUGCAAUGAUCCAAGCCCCCUCCCUCCCCUACCUCCCUCAGCCCCAUCCCUGAGUCUGGUCCUCUAAAUCUACACAGGGACCAGAGGGCUGGUGCUCAAAUGCUAACACAACCUAUGUCCCUCUGCUGCUCAAAAUCCCUCCAGCUCCCUAAUGCCCUCAUGACAAAAGGCCUUGCUGGGUUUUGUUUCCUGCUGGCCUCUCCAGCCUUCUCAGGAACGAUUCCGCCAAACUACCUUUCAGGAACAAAUCAGGAUUCCCACCUGCCCAAGGCCUUUGCCCUUGAGGCUCUCACCUGACCACGUGGCACCUUUCCUUCCAAGGCUGGUUUCUCCUUCGGGAGCGCUCAGCUAAAAGAUCAACUCCUCAGAUCCCCAGCAACACACACACCCUUACUUAAUGCCCCACUGUAACUACAGAGACCGUGUCAUGUCUGAAGUAACCUCGUCUCUCCGUGA